UACGAAGGGGGCUAGCGUUGCUCGGAAUCACUGGGCGUAAAGGGUGCGUAGGCGGGUCUUUAAGUCAGGGGUGAAAUCCUGGAGCUCAACUCCAGAACUGCCUUUGAUACUGGAGAGCUUGAGUCCGGGAGAGGUGAGUGGAACUGCGAGUGUAGAGGUGAAAUUCGUAGAUAUUCGCAAGAACACCAGUGGCGAAGGCGGCUCACUGGUCCGGUACUGACGCUGAGGUGCGAAAGCGUGGGGAGCAAACAGG
rnacentral:rRNA from 1 species